GACGAACGCUGGCGGCGUGCUUAACACAUGCAAGUCGAACGGAAAGGCCCUGCUUUUGUGGGGUGCUCGAGUGGCGAACGGGUGAGUAACACGUGAGUAACCUGCCCUUGACUUUGGGAUAACUUCAGGAAACUGGGGCUAAUACCGGAUAGCAGCUCCUGCUGCAUGGUGGGGGUUGGAAAGUUUCGGCGGUUGGGGAUGGACUCGCGGCUUAUGAGCUUGUUGGUGGGGUAGUGGCUUACCAAGGCUUUGACGGGUAGCCGGCAUGAGAGGGUGACCGGGCACAAUGGGACUGAGAGACGCACCAGACGGCAACGGGAGGCAGCAGUGGGGAAUAUUGCACAAUGGGCGGAAGCCUGAUGCAGAAACGCCGCGUGCGGGAUGACGGCCUUCGGGUGGUAAACCGCUUUCGCCUGUGACGAAGCGGGAGUGACGGUAAUGGGUAAAGAAGCACCGGCUAACUACGUG
rnacentral:rRNA from 1 species